AAUAAUUUAGGCAUAAGCAUCAGCACAACAUUAAUUGUGAUAAUAAUAAUAGUGGAUCGCAGUUAUUGGAAACGGAGACUAUGUGAUUGCUCUAUACUCCACAAAGGAAUGAACAGUAGACAUGCAUAUAUCCCAAUUUAAAAGGAAAAAGCGAGCAACAAGUCAUCACUAAAAGUCUAACAAAUAAAACCAAGGAAGAUGCACUUUGGCACAUUUUAUAAUAAACACUACAACGAUCUGAAAGGCCAUUCAAUUCUGCAAGGUAGUAUUCUUCAGGAAGUUCUUCAUUCUCUGUACUAGUCGGCCUAAUAUCGCCAUAAACUCCAUUAUUAGAUCCGAAAUCCAGCCAAUUCACUUCACAAAUUGUUCGUAAUAGGCAAGGUUUCCCUUUGAAGCCAGAACUAUAUUAGAUUGAUUACAAGAGGAGAAAAAAGGAUAAUUAAAACGUUUCCAAUUGAAGGCAAGAAUUCAAAAACGCUUACUGUUUAAACUUUUCCUCGAAUAUUUUGUAAAUAUGUGCACGUGAAAUUAAAGAGACUGCUGCA